UAGGGUUAGAGAUAGUGAAAUCCAAAACUCUCUCCCUCCUUCAAGAGAAGAUCGUAAACGGCGAUUCCUCUCCUCCGAUCGACAACAACUAACAUUUCCUUCUUCUCUUUUCAUCACAAAUGGCAGCGCGACCUCCAUCUCCAGCGAUAUCUCCUUUUCGUCUCCGUUUGAUCCUCUCCGUCUCUGAUUUUUUCGAUUCAUGUUAGUUUUUGUUCAAUAUCAUGUUUUAGUAACCUAAUUUGUUUGAUUUUACAGAGAUUAACACAAAUUCUAAAAGGGAAAACGAAACCCUAGUUGUAAGCAGAAUAGGGUUCGAGAAGAAGAAAGUCGCACUGUAGCGCGCCAUCUCCUGUGUACGAUUCUUCUCCCCAACCUUCACCUUUCUCUUUUCUCUGCGUACAAAUCUAACCAUUCUUCGCCUUUUACUUGAAUCUUGUGGACUGGUCCUCACAAAAUACUCUAGCAGUGGGGCUUGACACUUGUGUUUAUCUAUGGAGUGCUUCAAACAGCAAAGUGACUAAGCUUUGUGACUUGGGGCCUUAUGAUGAUGUUUGUUCUGUCCAGUGGACCAAGGAGGGUUCUUUCACAUCUACUGAUUUUGUUUCCAAGAAAUCGCCGAAAGGGGUGUUUGGAAUCGAGAAAGAUUCGUGCAUGAUUGAUAUGAGGUGCAGUAGUUACAAAGG